GUUUUAUGAAGAUGUCUAUAGUUUUGAGUCCCCAAGGGUGGCUGGGGUAUAGAAAUAUGGUCACUUGGUCUUCUCACGACCGGCAGUAAAACGCUUGCCGAAGUGGGGCGUCCUUUUUGAAAGAAGAUCAUAUAUAUUUUGUUUAAUGAAGAUGUCUAUAGUAUUGAUGGUAGGACAUAUGUAUUGUGUUUUAUGGUGAUGUCCAUAGAAUUGAUUGAAGGUCAUAUGUAUUGUGUUUUAAGGAGAUGUCUACAGUAUUGAUAGUAGUUCAUAAGUAUUGUGAUUUAUGAAGAUGUCUAAAGUAUUGAUGGUAGGACAUAUGUAUUGUGUUUUAUGAAGAUGUCUAUAGUAUUGAUGGUAGGACAUAUGUAUUGUGUUUUAUAAAGACAUCUAUUGUAUUGAUGAUAGGUCAUAUGUAUUGUGUUUUAUGAAGAUUUCUAUAGUAUUGAUGGUAGGACAUAUGUAUUAUGUUUUAUAAAGACGUCUAUAGUAUUGAUGGUAGGUCAUAUGUAUUGUGUUUUAUGAAGAUGUCUAUAGUAUUGAUGGUAGGACAUAUGUAUUGUGUUUUAUAAAGACAUCUAUAGUAUUGAUGGUAGGUCAUAUGUAUUGUGUUUUAUGAAGAUGUCUAUAGUAUUGAUAGUAGGUCAUAUGUAUUGUGUUUUAUAAAGACGUCUAUAGUAUUGAUGGUAGGUCAUGUGUAAUUGUUUUAUGAAGAUGUCUAUAAUAUUGAUAGUAGGUCAUAUGUAUUGUACGCCACAUCCGGUUGCAUACGAAAGUAGGCCUUAAAAAAUAUUCCCUUGAAUUUGACAGUUUUAGAAAAUUAACCCUGCAUUUCAAUGCACUUAAAUUUUUCUGUAUCGUAAAUAGGUAUGUUGGAUGUCUGAAUGCAUCAUUCUUUUUUUAUUUGGUCGUCUUAUAAAAUAUUCUGGAACGUUAAGGUUACAUAGUUACCAAAGCAAGUAACCAGUAAAUACAAGUGUAAAAAUUGGGUUGUUUACUUCUGGUGAUGAUUAUUUUCUUAUAUGCAAAGAAAUGUAGUGUGAAUUUUUCACUGUAUCACUGGAAAGGAUUAAACUUUACACAUGCAAAGUAUUUCUUUGGUUGAAAUAAAGUGUUAACCAUGUUCUGGAGAGCAUUCUGUUGAAAAAUCUUAUAUGUGAAUUGUUCUGCAGAUGACACUUCAGCACUAAAACAAAAGAUAUCAAGUUUUGAUGAAAAAGGAAGGAAGGAGGAAAAAUGGACCAAAACAGACCAAAACAGACCUUCAAAUGAACUCUAAAAGGUGCAAUAAAAUUGUUUAUCAUCUUAAAGUUGUCUUUUGUAUUCUAUUUAAUUGUUUGAAUUCAUAGAUCAUGAGUUUAUGAUCAGAUAGUAGUCAACACUGCAUUUUAUAAUGAUACACUGAAAUGAGGAUUUUUCAAAGAAAUUAGACUGAAAUUGCCGUAGGAUAUGGCCUUACAUUAUAGUGAUUUUCUCUGAAACUAUAGCUCUGACUGAGACAAAACUUGACAGUUAUAUAUGCUUGAAAUAACUUGCAAUUGGAGGGAAAAAAAUUACAUUAAGUUUAUUUGAUAUUUAGGUGUUCUUUAGGUGUAAUACCACCAAAUCAUGGUACGCCACAUCCGGUUGCAUACAAAAGUAGGCCUAAAAAAAUAUUCCCUUGAAUUUGACAGUUGUAGAAAAUUAACCCUGCAUUUCAAUGCACUUAAAUUUUUCUGAGUCGUAAAUAUGUAUGUUGGAUGUCUGAAUGCAUCAUUCUUUUUUUAUUUGGUCGUCUUAUAAAAUAUUCUGGAAUGUUAAGGUUACAUAGUUACCAAAGCAAGUAACCAGUAAAUACAAGUGUAAAAAUUGGGUUGUUUACUUCCGGUGAUGAUUAUUUUCUUAUAUGCAAUGAAAUGUAGUGUGAAUUUUUCACUGUAUCACUGGAAAGGAUUAAACUUUACACAUGCAAAUUUUUGGUUGAAAUAAAGGUAAAUACUGUACAAUUUUUUUAAAAGUGUCAAUUUAACAUGGACUAGUAGGGAAAAAUCAAUGGUGUUAUUACACCUAAAAUAAAGAGGACAAAUCAGAUACUCUACGGGAUUGAAGGACAUUUACUAGGUUUGGAUUGUCCUAACCAAUCAAUAAACUUUGAAUAUUCAGGUCUCGUAAUAUCUUCCAAUCAGGUAGCAAGAAAAAUUCUUGCAUUAACUGUCCAUCAUUCAAUUCUUAAUCUCGACUCCUAGGAGUCGAAAAUUAAAAUCUCCCCCUAAGCUGUCAAGGCUAAGAGGGAUUCUCACUCUUUGGGGGUUUAUGAUGUUGGAAAGUAUGUUGUAUUUUUUAGUGUUGUUGGGAUGUUGUCACACUGAUGUUUUCUCUGCAUCUUCUUUUACCUUAAAAUGUUUAUAUCCAUUUCUAUAUAUUAUGUACAAAUGUAUA